rnacentral:misc_RNA from 1 species
GAUGAAGAACGUAGCGAAAUGCGAUAAGUAGUGUGAAUUGCAGAAUUCAGUGAGUCAUCGAAUCUUUGAACGCACAUUGCGCCCUUUGGUAUUCCGAAGGGCAUGCCUGUUCGAGCGUCAUUAUCACCCCUCAAGCCCUCGGCUUGGUGUUGGACGGUUUGGUGGAGGCCCCCUCGGGGGCUCCUGCCCCUCCCAAAGACAAUGACGGCGGCCUCGUUGGACCCCCGGUACACUGAGUUCUUCACGGGACACGUAUCGGACACAUGGGUUUACGGGACACGGUCUGCCUCCCCUCAGGGAGAAUCUUUCUAAGGUUGACCUCGGAUCAGGUAGGGAUACCCGCUGAACUUAAGCAUAUCAAUAAGCGGAGGA